ACCCCCAACCUAGGCAAAGACCCCCACCCCCUGACUCCACCUCAGGCGGUGGCAGCGGCAUUGUCAGUACCCUCAACGUGCCCUCCCUCUUCUCCUCCUCCCGCAAGCAGUCAAAGGAGAUGUCCCGUGGACCCUCACUCGUCUCCAUUGCCUUCUCUAUGACUCCCCCUGUGACCCUAUCAUCUCCCGCAAGCGCCACUACCAC
rnacentral:lncRNA from 1 species